AAACACCACGCUUAUGUUCCGACAUACUCACUGAACUAGGCUCCAUAGCCUCUCUUCACUCCCGGCCCCCUGGGUGAGACAGCAGUCGUAUUCUGUUGGUCAGCCUGUACACACCUGCAUCCCCAGCUGGACCUCUAAUCCUCGCCCCCUCCUUCUCUCCCUCCCUCCCUCCCCCCUUGCUCCACAGUGCUCUACUCCCAGCUGCCUGGGCUAUUUAUAGGCCCUGUUUCAUUUCCACACCUGCAGGGAGGCAGAGUUGUCACAGUGGGCCCACAGAGCCUCUCUGGAAUACUGCAUGGGAUUGAAUAUGCACCUUGCUGAUGCAGGAACUUAUUCUUGUCACUCUCUCCCCGCGGACUCGCACGAUACUAUUUUGUUGUGGAUGUGCAGUGCAGUAUGCGGUCCAAAGAUAACGUGUAAAUAAGAUUCCUGUGCGAGGAGUGUGAGGUAUAUUGACAUGGAUUACACUUUUUAAAUAAUUAUUGGGCUGAGGAUCCAGUCAGCGGAUUACAUUAUCAGUCUGACCUAGUUGCCAGCUAUCUCCUGAGACCUGAGGAGCCAGGCUUUCUGCACAGCCUUCCGCUGCUACAACACGCACACUGUGUAACUUUAAUUUAUCAGGGGGAAGAGGAGGGAGAAAUGUGACAGGUUGACAGUUCUCUUUGCCUGCCACUCCGAGCACUCUCUCUCCCCACAGCGUGCCGGUUAAGGGUCCUUGCUAUGGUACAGUGCAUUACUGAGAGUGACUUUUAUUCAGCGCGCUGGAAACUCAUCAGCCAGGUUCCUCUUAUUAACGUGCACAUUUAAGGCGAGACUCGCAGAGAAUGACAUGAUUCAGGAUGUGAGCAAGGAGCUUACAUUUCUGUAUUUGUUCCUUGAUUAAA